rnacentral:sRNA from 1 species
AGUUGUCAGUUUAUCCAGAUCAUGUGUUUAUCUGAGGCUCCAAGUUCUUCACCAACCUACAUAGAGUGAGGUAAGGGAGAAAUGGUCCAUGCAAAAAUCUGGGCAGCUGUUUCUGGAGGAUAUAGAUAUCAAUGGCACUGAGACAAAGCCAUCAGAUUCUCAGAUGCUUACCAGGGUUCUAAACUAUUGAGGCAAGCUAUCCAAAUGAUUUUUUGUUUGGCUUUCAUUAGAAAUUUCUCCUCCGCUCUCAAAAUAGACUUUGUGGAAUCAGAGCAUAGGACCCCUCCUUCAGAUAAUAUAAACACAGAGAAAGUUAAUGUGCCAAGCACAAGAGAUUUCCCUAAGAGAGGUUAGAUGUAGAGAGGCAUGCCAUACAUAUAAGACUCUGAGGACCAUGUAUCACCAAUGCUCUUCUAGGUGUUGUUGAUGGUCAUCACAGCCUUGGUGAUGGAAAAAUUGAAGAAAAGAGAAGGAGCUUUUCAUGCAAUGACUGAACUGUCCCCAGCACGCAACCCAGGAGAAGCCCAGAGGGAAUCAAAGCCAUAAAAUUUAUGACUCGACAUUUCUAAAAAUGGAUCGCUGUCUCUUGGAGUUCUUCUGAAGCACAUGUGUAUGAAUAAGUGAGUGCCUGGCAUCCAGCAAGAUCAGCUAUAUUCUGAGGUCUCCCAUGUUCUUUCAUGACCUUGGAUAUUCUCAUAAACAUUUCAGUGCUGGAGGAAAGGUUAGAAACUCAGACCUCUGUGUUUGUGCUCCUGUUCUGCCUUAGAUUAACUUAAAUAUUGUUUGUAGAUGUUACAGAUAAAUCGCCUCAACUGUGAGCCUGCCUGGUUGGUUAAAAGGAUGCUGUUUAUUUCUCUAAGGAAGUUGCCCAGCUGGGUAAGAGAGCUGUUGGACCAUUGCCUCACUGCACACAAAUUUCCUACUUAUUUCAAGACUCAACUUCAGAGAGUGCACUUAACUGAUUUGCCUGGCUGUCAUCUGUCAUGUUCUCUUGGACUCAAGUGUCACAAUGGCAGAGAACUUGUCAUCUCUUUCCUCUCCAAUUCCUCUAGUGCCUAGAAUGGUGCCAGCCAUCUGCAGCUGCUCCAUCAAGGGAGACUGAAGUCAACACUAAAGAGUGAUUGGGACCUCAAAAGAACAAGCUGUGCCGAGGAAAGGAUGCAUCGUCUCACGUAUGACAUCAAAGUCCCUUACAGUCAUUGUAUUAUUGAGGAGCCCCAUCUUAACCCAAGUUUUAGAAGACUUCCUUUUCCUGAGUGCUUGAGGUUGUACCACAAUGAUUUUGAUAGCUGUCUGUGCAUCAGAAUCACCCAAAAUUAUUCUUUAAUGCACACCUUUCUGUAUUCUACCAUUAAUUCAGUGAUCAGGGGUAUAACCUUGGCAUCUGCCUUUAUUAAAUAAAUUCUAACAAUAAUAAGUAUAACAAGAGAGAGCUAGAUGAAGAGGGAAUGAGAAAUGGGAGGACAAACAUUAACAAAGAACCUUUUUAUCACCCCAAUGGUAAUUUGCCUGCCAAAAAGAUCAUUGUAGGCCAAUCAUGGAGGUACAAUGCCUCAUAAAAAUGCCUCAGUUUCUGA